UUAUCGCGUUAGGGAUUGCAGCGGCAUCCUUUUUUGGACGGCCUAGGCGUUUAAAAAAGAUAUAGCGGAAAGCGCGACCCGAU
rnacentral:sRNA from 2 species